rnacentral:lncRNA from 1 species
CGUAAGCACGUGCGGCUCUUACCCAUACCUGGGCCAGAUUCUGGUCAUGUCUCUCCAGUGGGCUCUCUGACAUGAAGGAAAUGCUGUCAUUCAGGGAAGUGGCCAUUGAUUUCUCUGUAGAGCAGUGGGAAUGCCUGGAGCCUGCUCAGUGGAAUCUGUACAGGGAAUUGAUGCUGGAGAAUUACAGCAACCUUGUAUUCCUGGGAAAUGCUGUCCUUCUGGGAUGUGGCCAUUGAUUUCUCUCCAGAAGAGUGGGAGUGCCUGGAGCCUGUUCAGUGGAAUCUAUACAGGGACGUGAUGUUGGAGAAUUACAGCAACCUUGUGUUCCUGGGUCUAACUUUCUCUA